rnacentral:rRNA from 1 species
AUGAGCUUCGCUCAACAGCAUAGCUCAUACCAAAACAAUUACACACAUGGGUGGCCUGAAAACCAGAAUAUGUCAUAUAGGAGCAAUAACCCUGAGAUCUCAUCGUUUGCUUCUAGUAAUCAUAUGCAGGGAUUUAGGUACAAUGAGGAGAGCCACAACUAUGCACCACAACAAUUCCAUUCAGCUCCUACUCAUAUACCACAACACCAGGAGAUGUGUCCAAUGGAGUUAAAUGGUCCUCCAUUUGGUCAACCAACAACUCCAGCACCUGUUGUGCAAUCUCAUGUGCAAGUGCCCACACAAGAUGAGUUAGAUGACAUAGACAAGCUCACACUUUUGAGUCUCGAGUUCACUUGGAGUGCCGAGGAUGAUCCUAUUAGGAAGGUUAUACUAGAGGAAAUGAAGAAGAUUAAGAGUGGAAAGGAGCUAGUCGAAGAAGUAAGGAAGAUUGAGAAGAACAUCAACGCUGGCAGCACUAUUUCUUCACAACUUGAGUUGAGUGUGGCUGAGAUAUCCAUGGAUACAUGUGAGGUUCCAACACCUUCACAUUUCGUUGAGCAAGAUAGCAAGUGCCUUGAGCAAGAGAUACCUCAGAUUGUAGAAGAUGAACUAGAAGACAAGGAACAAGAUGGUCAAGAGCUGCAAUUCCCAAGUGAUCAAGUUGAAGACUCAUCAUCUAUUACUCCUGAUGAAGUACAAGAAGCUGCUGUAGAUGAAGAUGAAGAACAUGAGAUUCAUUGGCCUAUUAUCAUACAUGAGCAUGAUGUGUCAGGUUUACUCAAUCCUCUUGAUGACAUGAUGCCUUGUGAUUUCUUUGCUACUACCUUGCAUUACAUGAUACCAUCACUUAAGAUUGAUUUGAAAAAUCAUUUGCUUGGAUAUGAUGAUAUAUACCCUGUUAGUGGCAUUACUCUCAUUUGUGAUGAUCAUAGUUACUUUCCUCGUGCUAGUCCUAUGCUAAAUGAAACAUAUCAUUCCCAUGCUAGUCUUGAGCUUAAUGAUAAAUAUCAUCCUCAUGUUAGUGUUGACCUUGCUGAUUUCUACCAUCCUAAACAUGUGCUUUAUAGCUAUGCUUAUGUAAUUGGAUAUUCGAUUGAUGACUUGGAGGGUAUUAUCCCUACCACUUGCAUUGUCUCUUUGGUUGAGUGCUCUUUCAGGUUGUUGCUUGUGCACGAUCCACUACAUGCUGACCAGGUUCGAGGUGACAUUCCUUGGGAUCCUGGUGGAGUCAGAGCAUGGCGAUGA